CCCUUAGACGUUCUGGGCCGCACGCGCGCUACAAUGGUCUUCGCAAACGGAUGCAUUCUCGAAGGAGAAUGCCAAUCUUGGAAUCUAUGCCUUGGUCGGGACAGUUGCUUGCAAUUUUUCGACUCGAACCAGGAAUUCCUUGUAAUCGUGAUUCAUCACAUCACGAUGAAUACGUCCCUGCCCUUUGUACACACCGCCCGUCGCUCCUACCGAUCGAAGAGUUAGGUGAAUUGUUUUGAUCGAUAAGAUUUGACUAUGGUCAACUCUCGUUGGGAAAUUCUGUGAAUCUGACUGUUUAGAGGAAGGAAAAGUCGUAACA
rnacentral:rRNA from 1 species